rnacentral:rRNA from 1 species
ACGGAGGGUGCAAGCGUUGUUCGGAUUGACUGGGCGUAAAGGGCGUGUAGGCGGUUGGUCAAGUCUGGUGUGAAAGCCCGGGGCUCAGCCUCGGAAGUGCAUCGGAAACUAGCCAGCUAGAGCGCGGUAGAGGAGGGUGGAAUUCCUGGUGUAGCGGUGAAAUGCGUAGAUAUCAGGAGGAACACCGGCGGCGAAGGCGGCCCUCUGGACCGUUGCUGACGCUGAGACGCGAAAGCGUGGGGAGCAAACAGGAUUAGAUACCCUGGUAGUCCACGCCUUAAACGAUGGGUACUAGGUGUUCGGGGUAUUGACCCCUCGAGUGCCGCAGCUAACGCAUUAAGUACCCCGCCUGGGGACUACGGCCGCAAGGUUA